rnacentral:rRNA from 2 species
GACCGCGACCCCAGGUCAGGCGGGACUACCCGCUGAAG